rnacentral:rRNA from 1 species
AGAGUUUGAUCAUGGCUCAGAUUGAACGCUGGCGGCAGGCCUAACACAUGCAAGUCGAACGGUAACAGGAAGCAGCUUGCUGCUUCGCUGACGAGUGGCGGACGGGUGAGUAAUGUCUGGGAAGCUGCCUGAUGGAGGGGGAUAACUACUGGAAACGGUAGCUAAUACCGCAUAAUGUCGCAAGACCAAAGAGGGGGACCUUCGGGCCUCUUGCCAUCGGAUGUGCCCAGAUGGGAUUAGCUUGUUGGUGGGGUAACGGCUCACCAAGGCGACGAUCCCUAGCUGGUCUGAGAGGAUGACCAGCCACACUGGAACUGAGACACGGUCCAGACUCCUACGGGAGGCAGCAGUGGGGAAUAUUGCACAAUGGGCGCAAGCCUGAUGCAGCCAUGCCGCGUGUAUGAAGAAGGCCUUCGGGUUGUAAAGUACUUUCAGCGGGGAGGAAGGGAGUAAAGUUAAUACCUUUGCUCAUUGACGUUACCCGCAGAAGAAGCACCGGCUAACCCCGUGCCAGCAGCCGCGGUAAUACGGAGGGUGCAAGCGUUAAUCGGAAUUACUGGGCGUAAAGCGCACGCAGGCGGUUUGUUAAGUCAGAUGUGAAAUCCCCGGGCUCAACCUGGGAACUGCAUCUGAUACUGGCAAGCUUGAGUCUCGUAGAGGGGGGUAGAAUUCCAGGUGUAGCGGUGAAAUGCGUAGAGAUCUGGAGGAAUACCGGUGGCGAAGGCGGCCCCCUGGACGAAGACUGACGCUCAGGUGCGAAAGCGUGGGGAGCAAACAGGAUUAGAUACCCUGGUAGUCCACGCCGUAAACGAUGUCGACUUGAAGGUUGUGCCCUUGAGGCGUGGCUUCCGGAGCUAACGCGUUAAGUCGACCGCCUGGGGAGUACGGCCGCAAGGUUAAAACUCAAAUGAAUUGACGGGGGCCCGCACAAGCGGUGGAGCAUGUGGUUUAAUUCGAUGCAACGCGAAGAACCUUACCUGGUCUUGACAUCCACGGAAGUUUUCAGAGAUGAGAAUGUGCCUUCGGGAACCGUGAGACAGGUGCUGCAUGGCUGUCGUCAGCUCGUGUUGUGAAAUGUUGGGUUAAGUCCCGCAACGAGCGCAACCCUUAUCCUUUGUUGCCAGCGGUCCGGCCGGGAACUCAAAGGAGACUGCCAGUGAUAAACUGGAGGAAGGUGGGGAUGACGUCAAGUCAUCAUGGCCCUUACGACCAGGGCUACACACGUGCUACAAUGGCGCAUACAAAGAGAAGCGACCUCGCGAGAGCAAGCGGACCUCAUAAAGUGCGUCGUAGUCCGGAUUGGAGUCUGCAACUCGACUCCAUGAAGUCGGAAUCGCUAGUAAUCGUGGAUCAGAAUGCCACGGUGAAUACGUUCCCGGGCCUUGUACACACCGCCCGUCACACCAUGGGAGUGGGUUGCAAAAGAAGUAGGUAGCUUAACCUACGGGAGGGCGCUUACCACUUUGUGAUUCAUGACUGGGGUGAAGUCGGAACAAGGUAACCGUAGGGGAACCUGCGGUUG